UUUAUGGAGAGUUUGAUCCUGGCUCAGGAUAAACGCUGGCGGCGUGCCUAAUACAUGCAAGUCGAGCGAACGGACGAGAAGCUUGCUUCUCUGAUGUUAGCGGCGGACGGGUGAGUAACACGUGGAUAACCUACCUAUAAGACUGGGAUAACUUCGGGAAACCGGAGCUAAUACCGGAUAAUAUUUUGAACCGCAUGGUUCAAAAGUGAAAGACGGUCU
rnacentral:rRNA from 1 species